rnacentral:rRNA from 1 species
GAUGAACGCUGGCGGCGUGCCUAAUACAUGCAAGUCGAACGCAGUGGGGACGGGUGAGUAACCCGUGGGUAACCUCCCAUCAGAGGGGAUAACACUUGGAAACAGGUGCUAAACCGAUACUGAUGGAUGGACCCGCGGUGCAUUAGCUAGUUGGUGGGGUAACGGGUGACCAAGGCCACGAUGCAUAACCGGCCUGGGGGGGGGAUCGGCCACAAUGGGCAUGGGACCAGGCCCAGCAUCCUGCGGGAGGGAGGAGGCAGGAAUGUUCGGAAAUGGAAGAAAGUCUGACCGAGCAAACGCGGGUGAGUGAAGGAGGUUUUCGGAUCGUAAAACUCUUUUGUUUGAGGAGCGGUAUCUAACCAAAAAGGCACGGCUAACUACGUGCCAGCAGCCGGGGUAAUAC